rnacentral:rRNA from 1 species
GCCCUAGUAACGGCGAGUGAAGCGGCAACAGCUCAAAUUUGAAAUCUGGCUCUAGGGCCCGAGUUGUAAUUUGCAGAGGAUGAUUUUGGCGCGGUGCCUUCCGAGUUCCCUGGAACGGGACGCCUUAGAGGGUGAGAGCCCCGUACGGUUGGACACCAAGCCUCUGUAAAUCUCCUUCGACGAGUCGAGUAGUUUGGGAAUGCUGCUCUAAAUGGGAGGUAAAUUUCUUCUAAAGCUAAAUACCGGCCAGAGACCGAUAGCGCACAAGUAGAGUGAUCGAAAGAUGAAAAGCACUUUGAAAAGAGGGUUAAAUAGCACGUGAAAUUGUUGAAAGGGAAGCAUUUACUACCAGACCUUCUCCCUGCGGAUCAUGCGGUGUUCUCACCGCUGCACUUCGCUUGGUUUAGGCCAGCAUCGGUUUUCGUAGAGGGAUAAAAGCUUUAGGAACGUAGCUCCCUCGGGAGUGUUAUAGCCUUUUGCAUAAUACCUUUACGGGGACCGAGGACCGCGCUUUUGCAAGGAUGCUGGCAUAAUGGUAGUCAAUGACCCGUCUUGAAACACGGACCAAGGAGUCGAACAUUUAUGCGAGUGUUUGGGUGUUAAACCCUCACGCGUAAUGAAAGUGAACGUAGGUGAGAGCCCUUACGGGUGCAUCAUCGACCGAUCUUGAUGUCUUCGGAUGGAUUUGAGUAAGAGCAUAACUGUUCGGACCCGAAAGAUGGUGAACUAUGCGUGGAUAGGGUGAAGCCAGAGGAAACUCUGGUGGAGGCUCGCAGCGGUUCUGACGUGCAAAUCGAUCGUCAAAUCUGCGCAUGGGGGCGAAAGACUUAUCGA